UCUUAAUUUNAAAGACAGUAGUUAAACUCUACUAUUAAGGG
rnacentral:tRNA from 1 species